rnacentral:lncRNA from 1 species
UUUUAUUUAUUUAUUUUAUUUUUAUUAGAUAUUUUCUUCAUUUACAUUUCAAAUGCUAACCCCAAAGUCUCCUAUACCCAUCCCCCCCACCCUGCUUCCCUAUCCACUCACUCCCACUUCUUGGCUCUGGCAUUCCCCUGUACUGGGGCAUAUAAAGUUUGCAAGACCAAGCGGCCUCUCUUCCCAAUGAUGGUCGACUAGGCCAUCUUCUGCUACAUAUGCAGCUAGAGACAUGAGCUCUGGGGGUACUGGUUAGUUCAUAUUGUUGUUACACCUAUAGGGUUGCAAACCCCUUCAUCUCCUUGGGUACUUUCUCUAGCUCCUCCACUGGGGGCCCUGUGUUCCAUCCUAUAGAUGUCUGUGAGCAUCCACUUCUGUUUACAUAAUUUUUAUAUUAAGCUUUACACAAGGAGAACUUCAUGGAACAAAGUACUGUCUCAUAGAGUUUGUAAAAACAUGAAUGGAUUUAUGAGAAUCAAUUCCUCCUCUAGGCUCAUCAUGUUCUGUACCUCAAAAGAAGAGCUUAAAUAUUGAUAAGUUUUUAUUUAAAAGAUAAGUUAGGUCCAUAAAACAGCUUUUUGCUUUUCAAUAUUAAGGAUGGUUGUAUGGCUUCAUCUUGCCCCAUAGUCAAUGCUAAAAUACUGAGGGAGGGGUGAACUUAACUCAUAAGAAGAAUGCUCUAAGUCCAUCUAUAGUGUACUGAAAUGUAGAGGCCUAAUAGCAAAUUUAUAAAAUUUUGGAUAGAUGUCAUAAAAAUAAAGAAAAUAAAGAUUUAUUAAUAGUGAGGUUUGGGCCAGUUGAUGUGAGGAUCAAUAUCAUAAAGAGUAUUAAGGAACAUAUUUUAUAAAUAUAACUCCAUGAAUUAUGAAAGUGAGUACUAUAAAAUGUCAAUUCUUUUAACUUUCAUAUAUAAAAGCAUUUUCCAUUGUCCUACUUUGCUUUAUGUUUCUGAGAUGAAUACCAUACUGUAGUAAACACCAUGGCCAUAAACAAUUUGGGAGUAAAAUAGUUUAUGACUUACAAGUUAACCUAUAUAGAGGAGAAGCCAAGAGAAGCAGGAACAGAAAAAGACUAUGAAGAAAUGAUGCUUAUUGGAUUGCUUUCUUACACAAGAGACAAUCUGCCCAAGGGCAUCGCCAGCAAUAAGUGAUUGGACCCCCCCGACAUCAAUUAUUAAUCAAGAAAAUCCCCCAAAGACAAUUCCAAGGGCCAAUCUGAUAGAGACAAUUCUGCAGUAUGAUUUCUCUUCCCAAUUUACUCUAGUGUGUCGGGUUGACCAAAACUAACCAAAUGAUCACUGACUGAGAACUCACAAAAGUGCUGCACAAAAACAUUCUAUAAAUUAGGAUAUGAGAAAACUAAAAGGAAAUACUUUACAAAAUGCUUGUGAUUAAUAUUCAUGCCCAACACAUGAUUCAAUAUUUUUCUAUAUGUUUUUGAUUUGUUACUUAAGGCAAGCUGUGUCUAUAUAGAGCUACUUUAAAUAUUUUGAAAUAUUUAUUUAUUUAUUUAUUUAUUUAUUUAUUUAUUUAUUUAUUUAUCUUAAACUCCAGAUUUUAUUCUCCUCCUGGCCCACCCUAUAUCACUUCCCAUACCUCCUCCCCGCCCCCUGUCUCCAUGAAGAUAUCCCCAACCCCCACCCCCACCCCUACCCCACCAAACCUCUAAACUCCCUGGGACCUCCAGUCUCUUGAGGGUUAGGUGCAUCUUCUCUGACUAAACCAAGGCCUGGCAGUCCUCUGUGGUAUAUGUGUUGGGGGCCUCAUAUUAGGUGGUAUAUGCUGUCUGGUUGGCGGUCCAGUAUAUGAGAGGUCUCUGGGGGCCAGGUUAAUUGAGACUGUCAACUAUACUUUAUUAUAUCACUUAUUCCUUAGAAUAAAUUUAACAGAAUAAUUUCUAAGGGGCUUUAGAAUUCUUAUUAGACCUUGGUGGCUAUUAUAUCUCUUAUUAUAAAUCAAUACACAUAUACCUUAACUCCAAGUCUUAAUUUCUUAUGUCUCAAACUAGUGAACAUUUUAUUUCCAUGUUAUCAGAAAUAGCAUCUCACCAUUUACUUUAAAAAUAUCUACACACCCUCUUCUGAUAUUAUGGCUCUGUAUGUGUAAUUAUUUUUAUUGAUAAUAGUGACCAGAUCAGUACAGAACUAGAAACAGACUGCCAGUUUUGUCUUUUCACACAACUUUCUGAGAGGAAUCCUUUAUCAAUUUUAUUGGGUUAUACGCCCCUUAGUAGGUAAUUGUACUUGGCUCAGUGAAUAUGUUCUUUACAGUCUUCUUUAAGUCUCUACCAUUAUGCAUAGAACUUGUAUAUCUAUUUCAUGUCCAUUUCAGGGCAUUCAGAUUCAGUGAAGGUCAUUUUUGUGGGCCCUUCAUACAUAUCUAGCUCUCCCCAUGAGUAAAGGCAUGGGGGCUUUACACCCUACUACAGCUAUUGCUCUAUCCAAGUAUGAGUGGUCAAUAGAACAGAGGGAGGCUGAACUAUCUGAAGAAGUCAUCCUGCCAGGCCUUACUUUAGAUAACAAUGAAUUUAUUUUACUUUAAAUGAACAAAGAAAG